AUGUAAACAGCUUUGUUAAAUUGGUGAGUGUGGUUUGCUAGCCGGGCACUAUUGUUUCAGAUCCUCUUCAUGGAAAACACCCAAAGGAUUGCCGCGCAAGUUUUCCAAAGCGUACAAAGAGUUUCCCAACGCUUUUGUGACUCGACAUUUAGUGUACUUUCUGCAAAACUUGGAGUUCCAAUUCUUGCUGAAGUCACUUAGGACAAAGUUUCUCUUGUAGAUUUCUUGUCCCGGUAGUAUCGAAUCUCUCGGGCCUUUAAGUUGUAAUGCUUUGAUGCUUUCUCGUAGGCCUGAUGUAUCCUUUCUUUUAUUUUCGCUCUGUAUAGUUGUUGUCUCUCCGAUCUGAGCAACUGGGCUAUCUCAGUAUCAUUAAGGGCAUUCAACUUGCGAGCCAGCGAGUAAUCUUUCCCAUUCGUAAACAUGUGCUGUUGGAACAUGGCAAAGUACGGCGAAGUUCCGGUGCUGCUAUAGAUGGAUGACCUCAGCGACGCUUGUAUGUCCGCUAAGUAUUCAUCCCAUCGCGUGUGGUCGUCCUGGAUGUUCACUCGAAUGGCUGCUAGCACGGAUUGAUUUACUCUCUCCGAAGCAUUGGAUUAUGUAUCUCCCUGUCUUCAUGUGUGUAAUCCCAUAUUUUUGUAGCAUAUUCUCGAAUUCUUUGGAGAUAAACUGCCUUCCGUUGUCCGUGUGGAUUGUUUCCGGAACUCCGAAUUGGGUGAAUAUUCCUUCUUGCAGGAAUCGGACUACAGCUGUCGAUGUGGCCUUCGGAUUCGCUUUUAGCCACACAAACUUGGUUAAGUGAUCCAACGCGAUAAAUAACAUCGUGUUCCCUCGGUGUGACCGCGGAUACUUUCCUAGGAAAUCCAGUUUUCGCAUGCUGAUACAAAUUCUCGGACUUGAAUUACCAUUUUGGGCCAGUAAUACAUACGCUGAAGUCUCGCUAAGGUCUUUUCCAUACCCCCAUGCAUUGCCAUGUCGCUGCCGUGGGCUUGCUGGAUUGGAGUUGUCGUCAAUGCUUCCGGAACCGACAGUUUCCAUUCAAAUUCCUCUCUAUCGAAGUGUGUCUUCUUGAAUAGAAGUCUUUCUUCCACUCGUAUUCAGGACUCUCAAACUCCGUUGUCUCAAAAUCGAAGAGACGGAAUCUUUCCACGGCUUUUUUAGCUGCGAGGCACUCUUUUUCCGUUAUGCUGUAAUUGAGUUGUGCUCCUCUCAGCUUCGCCGAAAAGAAUGCUAUUGGCCGGUCCGAUCCUUCUACGUCUUGCUGGUAUAACACUGCCCCCAAUUCCAACAUGGCUGGCGUCACACUGUAUCCAAAAGUUUCCCGAAAUCUGGAUGAGCUAAUACCGGCCCGCAGGCAGUUUGUGAGCGGCGCACUUACACCGGAGAAAUUUUGGAUUAACCUGAGGUACCAUCUUGCGGUUCCUAAGAAGCUGCGUAGUUGUCGCGUAUUUUUAGGCACUUCUAUCUUCAUAAUCGCCUCAACUUUCUUCGGAUCUGUCCGCAAGGCCCCAUCACCGAUGAUAAAUCCCAAAUACCGCAACAACAUGCAGUGUUCUUCGAAAGUCUUGGAUUUCAUCAGCAAGUCAUCCAAGUAAACAAAGACGCGGCUUCGAAGACGCUGUGGGAUUACCUUAUCCAUUACCCUACACAACCUUUGAGCCGAAUUACCCAAGCCGAAUGGCAUCCGUCGAAACUGAUAAAGUGGCCUUCUAGGUAUUGUGAAAGCGGUCAAGGGACGACAAUUUUCAUCGAGUUCCACUUGCCAGAACGCAUGUUUUAAAUCGAUACUGCUGAUGAAAAUCGUGUCAUCUACCCGGCUUAAAAUCGACUCAAUGCUUUGUAAUGGGUUUCUGCGCCAGCGUCGUUCGGUUGUUCCAGGGACUUUCACUUAUCUCGAUGACUCCUAACCGAAGCAUUUCAUCGAUUUUUGCGAACAGCAGUUGUUGUUUCGCCGGAGAAACUGGAAAAAAUUUCUCCUUCACGGGUACGGCUCCUUCAACUAACUGGAUCGAGUGUUCUUCCACCUUGCUGCUCAGCCUGUUAAGGGGAUCAAAUAUGUGCCUCUAUCUGUUCUCUUUGGCCAUAAAUUCGGAUUCCACCUGGUGUACGGAUUCUACACCCACUACCUCUGGUGCCAAUUCGAAUUUCCUCCAGAAAUCUAUACAAAGGUAUAAUUUUUGCUUUAAGGAAGGACAAAGGAGUAUCGGCAAUCGUUUUUUUAACCCAUUGUACGAGAUGCUGUGUUGAAUCUUCCCCACUACUCCAUGCUGCGUACCUAAUGCUGAUUUCAUUAUCGAUUGUGACCUCUCUAAUCUCAGUCCUAACCUUUCCACUGUUUCAAGGCAACUUUCCCCAAGCAAGCUGUUUGAUUGUACUGACCAUAGUGCAUCAAGUCCAAGAAUAUUAAGGAAUUGUUGAACCUUGUGGGCGUUAAAGUGGGCGUGGCAAUUUUUGUUUUGGGUAAAUCGAUAA